UAUGGUUGAUUCUGCAAAUAGCCUAGGCUUGUCUCAAAGAUUAAGACAUGCACGUGUAACUACACACGGCUGGUACAGUGAACCUGCAAAUAGCUCAUUAAAUCAGUUCUGGUUCCUAGGAUCGCUCCAUCUGUUGCUUGGGUAAAUGGUAAUUCUAGAGCGAAUACAUGCCAACGAGGGCUGACCUCCUGGGAUGCGUUCAUUUAUCAGACCAAGACCAAUUCAGGCUCACCCGGCCGCUUUGGUGACUUUGGCCGAUAGCAAGUUCCUAUGACUGAUGAUGAUGCAUUUGAAUGUCUGCCCUAUCCAUUUUUAAUGGCACUUCCUGUUAGUCUCAUGGUGGUGACCACAGGUAAUGGGGAGUCAGGGGUCCGAUUUCUGAGAGGGAGCCUGAGAAAUGGCUACCACAUCCAAGGAAGGCAGCAGUUGCAUAAAUUACUCCCUCCAGACUCUGGGAGUUAGUGACGAAAAAUAACAGAACAGGACUCUUUUGACGCCCUGUAAUUGGAAUGAGUACACUUCAAAUCAACGAGGAUGAAUUGAAGGACCAGUCUUGCGCCAGCAGCUGCAGUAGUUCCAGCUCCCAUAGCAUUUAAGUUGCUGCAGUUAAAAAGCUCAUAGUUGGAUCUUGGUAUGUAGCUGGUGGUCCACUGCGAGGCAAGCUACUGCCUGUCCCAGCCCCUGCCUCUCGACGCCCCUUGAUACUCUUGACUGAGUGACCUGGUGGUCCGAAGUGUUUACUUUGAAAGAAUUGGAGUGUUCAAAGCAGGCCUGUUGCCUAAAUAUUUCAGCUAGGAAUAAUGGAAUAGGACUCCGGUUCUAUUUCGUUGGUUUUUGGAACUCGGGCCAUGAUUAAGAGGGACGGCUGGUGGCAUUCGUAUUGUGCCACUAAGGGUGAAUUCUUGCACCAGCGCAAGACAAACCAAAGCAAAAGCAUUUGCCAAGAAUAUUUUCAUUAAUCAAGAAUGAAAGUCCGAGGUUCGAAGAUGAUCAGAUACAGUCGCAGUUCUGACCAUAAACUCUACCGACUAGUGAUCCGGCAGCGUUAUUCCCAUGACUCUCCGAGCAGCUUCCGGGAAACCAAAGUCUUUGGGUUUCGGGGAGUAUAAUUGCAAAGCUGAAACAUGGAGGAAUUGAGAAAAAGGGCAUCUCCAGGAAUGGAGCCUGAAUCUUAAUUUAACUGAACAAGGGAAACCUCACCCUGCCCAGGAACUGAAAUGAUUGAUGGAUUGGUAGCUCUUUCUCGAUUCUGUGGGUUGUGGUGCAUGGCUGUUAGUUGGUGGAGUGAUUUGUCUGGUUAAUUCUGAUAACAAGACUCCUCCAUGCGAACUAGUUAUGCUACCCCUCCGCCCCCUCCUCCUUAGGACUGGCGUUCACAUUCUUAGAGGGACAAGUGGCGUUCAGCCACACAAGAUCAAGUAAUAACACGUCUGUGACGCCCUUAGAUGUCCGUGACUGCAUGCACGCUACACGGAAACAGAUCAGCAUGUGUCUACCCUUGGCCGACAGGUGCGGAUAACUUUCUGAACCCCAUUCGGUAUAGGGAUUGGGUAUUGCAAUAAUUUCCCAUGAACAAGAAAUUCCUAGUAAGUGCGGCUCAUAAGCUUACAUUGAUUAUGUCCCUGCCCUUUCUACACAUCGCCAUUCGCUACUACUGAUUGGAUGGCUUAGUGAGGUACUCGGUUGCCGAUCUCUGCGGAGCACCGAGAAGACGAUCAAACUUUAUUAUCUAGAGGAAGUAAAAGUCAUGUUUCUAAAGGUGAACCUGCAGAAG
rnacentral:rRNA from 1 species